GUAGGUGGCAAGCGUUGUCCGGAAUUAUUGGGCGUAAAGCGCGCGCGGGCGGUUCUUUAAGUCUGAUGUGAAAGCCCACGGCUCAACCGUGGAGGGUCAUUGGAAACUGGAGAACUUGAGUACAGAAGAGGAAAGCGGAAUUCCACGUGUAGCGGUGAAAUGCGUAGAGAUGUGGAGGAACACCAGUGGCGAAGGCGGCUUUCUGGUCUGUAACUGACGCUGAGGCGCGAAAGCGUGGGGAGCAAACAGGGAUUAGAUACCCUGGUAGUCCACGCCGUAAACGAUGAGUGCUAAGUGUUAGGGGGUUUCCCGCCCCUUAGUGCUGCAGCUAACGCAUUAAGCACUCCGCCUGGGGAGUACGGCCGCAAGGCUG
rnacentral:rRNA from 1 species